UAGACACGGGCCAAUGCCCCUGAGCGGUCAGCCAGCCUUGCAACCAGUGACUGAUAACUCGCCAAAGCUUAGCUCCACACCACACUGCAUGAAACUACCCAUCCCUCUCACUCCGUCGAUAACUGAAAAGAACCUUCGAUUUCCGGUUUCGUUCUUCAAUUCGCAUUUUCCCAUGUAAUCUCUGGCUGGAAAGUUGUCAGAUUUUUUUCCUGUUUGCGGUAAAACGCCUGAGUUGUUUCAUGGAAAAACAGAAUCAAGCGGAGAUGGUAAAUACUAGUCGGCCUUGUUUCUUCGAGAUUUUCUCCUCUAAUUUAACCUCGGAUCGACUGAGAAUACCUGUAGGAUUCACCAAACAUAUGGAAGGACGAAUAUCUGGAUUGGUUUCUUUAACCGGUCCUAGUGGGAAUGUUUGGCAUGCUUACUUAACUCAGCAGGACAAUGAUGUAUUCCUUGAUCAUGGAUGGCCAACUUUUGUGAAAGAUCAUCUUAUAGAAUGUGGUGACGUUUUGAUUUUCAGAUAUGAUGGAGAAUUGUGUUUCUCAGUUCAAGUAUUUGAUAUAAGUGCAUGUGAGAAAGAAGCUGCAUUUCAUUCUAAAUGCAGCCAAGAUCCCAGCCAGUUGUACAAAAGUAUUGGACAGAAGAGAGAAAGGGAGGAAAGAGCUGCAUCUUCUGAUAAAAAUUGUGAAUACGUGUUGAAAAAGGUUAGGGGGGACUCUUCUGAACUUUAUUCGGAACACAUAAACAAGAGCUUGGGGGCUGGACUGGUUAUAAGUAAUAAGGAAGGAUGCCAGCUUGAGGAGGUAAAUACAACUAAAAAAUGCCCAGAAGAGAGUUCCUCCCAUGAAAAAUGUUAUAGUCCAUGCCCGAUUUCUGUCAUUCCCCCUCAAUCAAAACCUUGCUAUCAAAGUUCUGAGGCAGACGUCCAGAAGAGAAUUGGAAAAGAAGAUGAUCUACCUGACAGAGGUUGUGGGUCAGUGUUGUUGCAACGUGAGAAAAGAGUUGCUCAGUCUUUUAUCUCUUGCUUUCCUUAUUUUGUAAGGAUCAUGAAAAGGUUCAACGUCAGUGGUUCAUACACUCUGAAUAUACCAUACCAAUUUUCUACAGCUCAUCUUCCAAAUUGCAAAACAGAAAUUGUCCUUCGCACUGUCAAAGGAGCAUGUUGGAGUGUGAAUUCCGUGCCAACAACAAGAGUGCACACAAGUCAUACUUUCUGUGGAGGAUGGAUGGCAUUCGUUCGCAGUAAUGACAUCAAAAUAGGAGAUGUUUGUAUUUUUGAACUUGUGCGCAAAUGUGAAUUGCGUGUAUUUAUUCUUCGAGUUGGAAAGGAAGUUUUGGAAAAGCAAAGUGGAGAAGUAGCUUCUAAUGAGGCAACUGUUGGUUGCACUGCCACUGCACAUAAAAGUGACAUUUUUCCGAAGAAAUCCAGAAAAAAUGCUUUAAAGGUCCAUUCACGACCCAUAACAAAGGUAGAAAUGUGUGACAAAAAGGACUCUAAUAAGAGUCAAGUAGCUUCCAAUCACGCAAGGAAAUGUAGCAAUGCAAUAAAGAGUUCUGCCAGUGCUAUGCUGUGCUCUCAGUCAAGAGCUGUCAAUGAAAAGCUGGAUGUGGCCAUUAACAGUGGAAAGAAUUUAGAUGUGAGUUCACAUGAUGGAGUUGGUGGGAGAGUAAUGUUAGCACUUCAUGAAGAGAAAGCAGCCAAGUCUUUUAACUCACGUUUUCCAAAUUUUGUCAGAAUUAUGAGGAAGUUCAACAUCAGUGGUUCAUAUACUCUGAAAAUUCCCCACCAGUUUUCUGCAGCACAUCUCCCCAACUGCAAAACAGAGAUAGUCCUUCGUAAUUCACAAGGAAUAUGCUGGACAGUGAAUGCAGUCCCAGACUCAAAAGGGCGAAGAAUACAUACAUUUUGUGGAGGAUGGAUGGCCUUUGUUCGCGAUAAUUAUAUCAAUAUGGGGGAUGUCUGCAUAUUUGAACUUGUUAGUAAGUGUGAAAUGCUAGUGCAUAUAUCUGGAGUUGGAGGAAAAACACUCCAGCCUCCUUCAUGAGGCGUGUUGAACAGUUGAAGAAUUCAGUCAUCACUAAAAAUAUUCGAGUGAGAGGCUGAGGGCUAGUUGACGUGCCUGUACAUGCACACUCAAGGAAACAAUAUUGCUGAUGAAGAUGGAAGUGGAAACGUCUUUUCCUUGGUGAAACAUUGUGCAGAAGUUAUCCUUUUAUCAAGAAGCAACCACCUUGAAUGUACAUGCAAUGCUCCCUCAGUGCUUCUGUUCAUUUUAGCUUGCACUUGCAGCCUAGCAUGCGUUGAAGACAAAACUGAAGUCGUCAAGUAAACUGUAAAAACUUUUAAGUAUUUGAUUCUACCUGCUAACGUUUAGCAGUCUGGUGAAAUCUUAACAGCAGGUUUAAUAGUUAAUUUCCCUACCACUGAGCAAACCAAGUUCAAAAAAAAAAGGGGGGAAUAUGGUUAGGGUUGCUGCUUUAUAACUUGGAGACAAUACUUUGUGAACGUAACCAAGGAUAAUAUGAUUAAAAAAUUGGUGUUCA